rnacentral:rRNA from 1 species
ACGCUCGACACCUACGGGAGGCAGCAGUGGGAAUAUGCACAAUGGGGGAAACCCUGAUGCAGCGACGCCGCGUGGAGGAAGAAGGUCUUCGGAUUGUAAACUCCUGUUGUUGGGGAAAAAGAGGAUGGUACCCAACAAGGAAGUGACGGCUAACUACGUGCCAGUAGCCGCGGUAAUCUGAGCGGGCUGGCAAGGC